rnacentral:rRNA from 1 species
CGGAGGGUGCAAGCGUUAUCCGGAUUCACUGGGUUUAAAGGGUGCGUAGGUGGGUUGGUAAGUCAGUGGUGAAAUCUCCGUGCUUAACAUGGAAACUGCCAUUGAUACUACUGAUCUUGAAUUUUCUGGAGGUAAGCGGAAUAUGUCAUGUAGCGGUGAAAUGCUUAGAUAUGACAUAGAACACCAAUUGCGAAGGCAGCUUGCUACAGGGAUAUUGACACUGAGGCACGAAAGCGUGGGGAUCAAACAGGAUUAGAUACCCUGGUAGUCCACGCCCUAAACGAUGGAUACUCGACAUUUGUGAUACACAAUAAGUGUCUGAGCGAAAGCAUUAAGUAUCCCACCUGGGAAGUACGACCGCAAGGUUG